CCCUUAGAUGUUCUGGGCCGCACGCGCGCUACACUGACGAAUGCAACGAGCUUAUAACCUUGGCCGAAAGGUCUGGGUAAUCUCCAAAUUUCGUCGUGAUGGGGAUAGAUUAUUGCAAUUAUUAAUCUUCAACGAGGAAUGCCUAGUAAGCGCAAGUCAUCAGCUUGCGUUGAUUACGUCCCUGCCCUUUGUACACACCGCCCGUCGCUACUACCGAUUGAAUGGUUUAGUGAGAUCUCCGGAUUGGCACCAUCGCGGCUUCGCGGCUGUGACGGAAUGCCGAAAAGUUGAUCAAACUUGAUCAUUUAGAGGAAGUAAAAGUCGUAACA
rnacentral:rRNA from 1 species